rnacentral:rRNA from 1 species
GACGAAGGAUGCAAGCGUUAUCCGGAUUCAUUGGGUUUAAAGGGUGCGUAGGCGGCCCGGUAAGUCAGUGGUGAAAUCUCCUUGCUUAACAAGGAAACUGCCAUUGAUACUGCUGGGCUUGAGUACAGAUGCUGUGGGCGGAAUAUGACAUGUAGUGGUGAAAUACAUAGAGAUGUCAUAGAACACCGAUUGCGAAGGCAGCUCACAAAGCUGUAACUGACGCUGAGGCACGAAAGUGCGGGGAUCAAACAGG